GGGCAGCGAGACUCCCGCCGCCGCCGCCGCUGCUGCCGCCACCAGCAAGUCCAAUGUUAGCAGAUCGGCAAUAAGGAUGGAGAGGAUGGUAAUCCCGGCGGUCGCCCUUCUGACGGGUGGUUAAGAAGAACUGAAUUGCUAAGGACAACAGAGAAGGUCUUUGAGGGGCCACUUAAGGAAAGAGAGAGGGGCGAUGUCACUGGACGAAGUCUACUGGAAGAAUUUGGGCGUGCAUCUCCCAAACUCUAAGGGACUCCAUGAGACUUGUAACAGGCACAAGACUUGCAACCAGGGGAGCAAUGGGCAGUGGCAGCUCGUCCCCAGCUAACCCCCUGAACCUGUCUCCAAGGUCCCAUUUUCUCUGACUUCCCAGUGAGCUAAAGCAGCCCUGCCUAGGCUCACUUCUUUCCGAUAAUGUUUCUAGAAAGCCAAAGCAGUGCUGCCUAGGCUCUCUCUCCUGUUGCUUCUUCUAUCCUAAGCCCUUCCUUGUUUCAGUGUCCCCAGCUUUAAUAA